UUUUUAAAGAAGCAUUAAACUUAAAAACUUGAUUCUCUCUCCCUUUCACAAAUGUCCAACUCCUCCAUUUUCUCUGCUCUCUUCCCCUUCAUUCUCCCGUAUCCUCUCCCCUCUUCUCUUUCACGCAACGACACCGCCAUCCUUUGGUCACCAACGACCGUCAAAUUAUACCUCCAGAAUCCUCUUCCCGUCCUUUUUCCAACCCCCAAGUUAGUUUCUACAAAUUCGUAGCCGAAUUUCCUCAAUUUUAGAUCUAAGAAACAGUGACCUUGGGUUUUCUAGCCAAUUUCCAGCCAAGUCUGCCGGAAUCGGACCUCAACCUAAGAGAUUGGGAACAAGGAAGGAUGAAUUAAGGUUGUUUCCAACCUGGACCGACAAGAAUGGAAGGUUGUGUGGGUAAUCCCUUUGCCUUAGAAGAUUUCUUUGGUCCAUCCGAAGAAAAGAUUCCAUGGUCACAUGGGGUACUCAGCAAGGUUCUACUUUUGCAAAGGAGAUGGAGAUGUUACAGACUUACAGUGAUACUGCAAUCCUAAUAAUCUGUCUUAACUUACCAAUCGAAUCCAUCUCCCUUGACUAGCUAGAGUAUAUUGAUUGGGAACUCUAUCCGUUCCCAGCGCCUAGUUUCCAAAGACGAAGUUGAGACAGAUAGAGAUAGCAAUUAGUGUGGUUCAAGCAUUAGGAGCAGUAUUUCACUCUCAAAGGACUUCGUUUGGAGGUGUUCAAGGAAAAGUGAAGUCUUUCAAGUGACAAAUUUCUUUGUUAUUAGAGGCCUAUUUUGUAUGUCAUGUGUAGUUUGAUUAGCUUUAUUCAACUUGUAAUACAUUUUGACAAUAUGAUUAUUUAUGAAAUCUUGUAUUAUAGUAAAUGUGUAAUUUUGUU